AGCAGCCGCGGUAAUUCCAGCUCCAAUAGCGUAUAUUAAAGUUGUUGCAGUUAAAAAGCUCGUAGUUGAAUUUCGGGAUCAAUGCGUCGGUCGUGCUUUCGGGUACGUACUAGCGUCGUUGGUUUCUCCUUUCUGACGAGCCGUGAUGUCAUUAAUUUGGUGUUACGGGUAGUUAGGACUGUUACUUUGAAAAAAUUAGAGUGUUUAAAGCAGGCAUUAGCUUGAAUACAUUAGCAUGGAAUAAUGAAAUAGGACGUUCGAUCCUAUUUUGUUGGUUUCUAGGAUCAACGUAAUGAUUAAUAGGGAUAGUUGGGGGCAUUAGUAUUCAAUUGUCAGAGGUGAAAUUCUUGGAUUUAUUGAAGACUAACUACUGCGAAAGCAUUUGCCAAGGAUGUUUUCAUUAAUCAAGAACGAAAGUUAGGGGAUCGAAGACGAUCAGAUACCGUCGUAGUCUUAACCAUAAACUAUGCCGACUAGGGAUCGGAUGAUGUUAAUUUUUUAAUGUACUCAUUCGGCGCCU
rnacentral:rRNA from 1 species